GAAAAGGUCAGGAAUUUUGUUCCACUAUUAUUUGGAUACUUUCUCAUCACUGGCCAUUGAGUAUGUAGAAAACGUAAACCAAUUUCCAAUGUACCUUUAAGUUCAGUGCAACAAAGCUAUCCUCAGCAAAAGAAUAGGUAUAAGAUGUAUUCCAAGUCCAAAUUGUGCUUUACUGUUGAUCUUUUUUUUUAUUAUUGAGUUUUUUUUCUUUUUCAUUAAUACUUUAAAUUUUCAAAAGCCCCAGUUACAUGAAAGUGGUAGGUCAGGGUAAAGAAAAUGCACAGAGAUGAAAGAUACAUGAUGUCCUCAGGACCCUCUGGGAAGGCCUCAUAGCCAAUCUUCUCCUCAGCAGACAAAGACCUGGAAACUCAAAGAGAACAACUGACUACUUAAGUUCUACAAUUCUCUUAUCUUAGGGGAUCUUUACAUUUUUUCUUCCGACGACUUCUUUCUUCUUCUACAAAGUAUCUUACUAGCUAAAUAUAACAGUUAUCGCGCUCAGGUUAGGGAAAAAAAAACCCUAUAAUACAGGCAACAGAGAUGGGAAGGAUCUCGAUCGCUGCAUUCUCAUUUCUCAUUCUUUCUUUUUGAACAGAACCGAAGAUGCAAUUCAGCAGAACAGAGAAGCCUGGGGAAAAACCCGUUCUGAAGUCACAGCAGUAGAAAACUGUGAGCUAAAUUAAGAUAAAAUGAAAAAACAGGGAGUGACAAAAAAUAUUGCAGACAUCAUGAAGAUUAUCCACUCAUCUUGAAGAUUAACAGGCACCCCUGGAAGACUCCCAGGAAAGCAGGAAUUACAGAAGGGAUCCACGCCUGGGAAAGAAAAGAAAACAAACGUCAACACGCCACACUCUGGAGAUUUGAAGUACUGAAGCUUCAGGACUCAGUAUUCAGUUCCCACCGGAGAACUGGCUGUAUCACAUUGCAGUGACUCAUCCAGUGUCUGCCUUCCGCCUAUGGUCUGGUCUUCUUGAGGGCAGGGAAAAACCUCUUCUUAACCAUCUCUGCAGGCUCAUAAAGUCUUGGGAGAAUUAUACUGACUCGAUCAUUGUGGGUUGAUGAACUCAGCAAGUAUUUGAGAAGGUUGAUAUUCAAAAUAUCUAACAGGAAAAUAUGAUACAAAAUAAUUCUUCUAUGAAAUUCUAUUUCUGUGAACAGCAAUGAGUCUUCAUACUGGUAACUUGUAAGAUAUAUCAACUUCUGCUUUUCCUGCCACUGAUUUUGGCCUCAAAUCCUUUUCUGUGGCCUCAGUUGCCUUUCUAUAGGAAGAAAAGACAGUAUAGGUACAUUAUGUCAUCAUGGUGUUUUGUUUACUCAAACCUAAUUCCAUGGAGUCUUUGCCCUCAGGCUAGACACUUCGACAAGCCAGCUACCAGCUGUGACUAAAUCUAGCCAUUCCUCUUGACCUUUCUCAUUAGAGGCCAAGAGCAGAAAAGAACGUUCUCUCUCCCACAUCCAAGGAUCACUUUAUUUUAUGCCCAGGGUGAUUGACAUAUCAUUCAGGAGAAACCAUAAUGGAUACAUUACCAAUUUUAAUUAAUUCACUAGGCAUAUAAAUAAGUGAGUUCAAGGUCUUAUACCUUUGAAACAUUUUUCAACAAAUAAUUUUAAAAAUUAUUAAAAAUUUUUUCGAAGGGCCCUAUGUCU
rnacentral:lncRNA from 1 species